UGCCUUAUACAACUCGAGGGCACCAUUACACACACUUUCGUUUUUCAAGUCUAAGAGCAAAACCCCGAGUCUUUCUUCACUUCGAGCAAAAUCCCGAGCCUUAACAUCUCUCACUCCCACUUUGGCCUUAGAGAGUUUUGUUGGAUUGGGAAUUUAGGGUUUUUUCGAUUAACUGUUCAGCUCACUUUGCCUAGGCGAAGACGGAGGCUAGGUGGAAGACGGAGGUACAGUCCAAUGACUUCGUCUUCAUUCUCUCAAGUCUGAUUGUCUCAUCUAAUUUCUGAAAACCCAAACCUCCUUAAAACCUUCAACCCAGUCUCUGCGACGAUCGACGGCAGCGGCAUGACGACCUCGUCUCGUUCUCGCAACGUCACUCUGUCAGUCACUCAAUCUCGCUUUUGGUGGUGGAGCAGAAGAAAGAAAAGAAAAAAAUAAGAAGGGGUCGGGAAAGAGAGGAGAAAGAAGAGAAUAGAGGGAUGUUGAGAAAGAUAGAGAAGAAAAGAAGAAGAAAUAGGAAGAGGGAAGAAGAAGAUGUUUAUCUUCCGGAGGGUUGCUUUCUAAGGGAGAGGAGAUCAUAAACGAGAGAGAAGGAGAGAGACGAGUUUGUUUGAAGUUAAAAGGCAAGAACAUGGUGUUGGGUUCAGUUUCUUUUUGGUAAUAUAUGAGAAAUUUAUGAAUGCUAUACGUGAAAGUUGGUGUCUAGGUAGUAAUUCGGUCUCAUCUGUUCUUUUUGUCUUCAAGUAAUCAAUUUGUAUGAAAUUUGAUUGGGAAGCAAGUGCUUCAAUCUCAUAGUUUUUGUUUUUGUUUUUCAUCACUAUCAAGCAGAGUAGGUAUUAUUUGAGAUUAGGAUUAAAACUCUACUGCACCCAACAAGCAAAGGAGCAUGCAGUGGUAAAUCCUUUUCAUUAUUUCUAGGGAUACUAGUGAAUUGCAGUGGUACUAGUAGUUGUAUCACUAAUCUUUUUUUUUUUUCCUGUAUUGUUUUUGAUUUGGUGCAUAAGGGCAGCUUUGAGGUUUUCUUUCUUUGAUCUCUUUAAGGUCAGAAAAGCCUCAAUUUAUUCCUUUUGUAUUUGUUUGCUAACAUUUUCUUUGAGCACAUGCAUAUCUAUAGUGUCACUGGAUUUAGCUUUUACAUUUAACCAUUUAAAAGAGCUGCUGGUAUUUGCCUUCUUGCAUUUUCAGUUGAAGCUUGUAGGAGAAACAUCAAGUUCAAUGGUUCAGUUGCAUGUUCAAAGGUGGAAUCACAUCUUGGUGAUGUUCGUGUGCAUAUAUAUGUUAAUUCCUUGAUGGUCAUUGCUUUCUUUUUUCAAUUCUUUUGCCACUGGUUUUGUUAAUCUCACUUGCCUUGAUCAGAGUAGCUCUUUCAAGGUCUUUGUAUUCCUUUCUUAUAAAAAAACGUCAUUUCAAACCAUGAAGCAUUGUUGACUUGUUGAGUUUCUGAAGCAUGUUACCUUGCUAUUUUUAUUGAAGUUAAUGUUGAUAAAAUUCAAGUUGUCUUGCUUUGUUGUCUUUGAGUAAAAAUUAACCUGUUAGAUUUCUUGUUGUGCUUCUAGAAAUUUGAAAAUUUAAUAUCAAGCAUUUUUGAUAGCUACCAAAAUAAAAGCAUAUAUGAAGGAAAAUAUCAUUGGACAAGUGGUUCAACUAUUUGUGUUGUAGAUGCUUAAUCCUUUGCAGACCAUACAAUGGUCUGAAGUGUAAGCUUGGCACUUUGGUAGGUUGCUCCAUUGCAACCUGAAGGUCCCGGGUUUGAAGGGGGAGAUAGCCUCUCCCAGAUGGGGUCAACAGUCUCUAGGCUCUGCAAUGGCUGGAUUCCCAUGCAUAUUGAGCUGUCUGUAAAAUAGACGAGAAGGCAAUCAAUGAGGUAUUUCUGAAAGUCCUGGAUAAUUAGAUCAAAUGGUGCAAAUACCUGCGGAUCUGGCUUCACAAGCAAUUAAUCGGGACAUAAACUUUUUCUGGUGUCAUUGUACUUUCUGAUAUGGGGUGAGGCUGCAAAUGUCCACUUUCUUCCUGAAUGCAUUUGCUACAUGUUUGACCAUAUGGCGAAGGAGUUAGAUGCUAUUCCUGCUGCUGGCUGCACAAUAGAAAAUGAUUAUGUGUCCUUCCUCAAGCAGAUUGUUUAUCCUAUGUAUGAAACAUUGGCAGCGGAAGCUGCUAGAAACAAUAACGGGAAAGCUGCACAUUUCAGUGUGGCGGAAUUAUGACGACUUCAAUGAAUACUUUUGCUUUGUUUGCUUGUCAUUCAAUUAUGGAUGAACAAUGUGAUUCCUUCUUUUUGGUGUGUGAAGUGUCUGUGGAAUAUGCAGGUCACCUGCUUGUUUAGUUGAGCUAAGAGAUUGGAUGAAGAUUGUGGAAUCGUAAGUCCCUUGUAUUGAUCAUACAUAUUCGGUUGUUGCUGAAGGAAAACAUCAUUUUUGUGCUUCUCUGCUAGUCCAAUAUUCAUGCACUGUGUGGCAUGUUUUGUAACAAAUAGUUUGUAUUUGUAUCAGCUUUUGAUGUCCCAGGUAGAUGGGCAUGCAUUUGAAUGCUUUUCUUCUUUUAAUGUUGGCUUGAAUGAUUGGGAAAUCCUUCAUUUUAACGUUUGAAUGCUUUUCUUCAAAUAGUAUGAGUUGGAUUACUUUUUAUUCA